CUACUAUGUUCAGAGUUUGAUCCUGGCUCAGGACGAACGCUGGCGGCGUGCCUAACACAUGCAAGUCGAACGGAGUGUUUCGCUGAAUUUGAUAAUAGCUUGCUAGAGGAUAAUUCUUGAAACACUUAGUGGCGGACGGGUGAGUAACGCGUGAGCAACCUGCCUUACAGAGGGACAACAGUUGGAAACGACUGCUAAUACCGCAUAACAUACUUUAGAGACAUCUCUUUAGUAUCAAAGGAGCAAUCCGCUGUAAGAUGGGCUCGCGUCCGAUUAGAUAGUUGGUAGGGUAACGGCCUACCAAGUCGACGAUCGGUAGCCGGACUGAGAGGUUGAACGGCCACAUUGGGACUGAGAUACGGCCCAG
rnacentral:rRNA from 1 species